rnacentral:rRNA from 1 species
GUCGAACGGCAGCACGGGUGCUUGCACCUGGUGGCGAGUGGCGAACGGGUGAGUAAUACAUCGGAACAUGUCCAGUAGUGGGGGAUAGCCCGGCGAAAGCCGGAUUAAUACCGCAUACGAUCUUUGGAUGAAAGCGGGGGAUCGCAAGACCUCGCGCUAUUGGGGUGGCCGAUGGCGGAUUAGCUAGUUGGUGGGGUAAAGGCUCACCAAGGCGACGAUCCGUAGCUGGUCUGAGAGGACGACCAGCCACACUGGGACUGAGACACGGCCCAGACUCCUACGGGAGGCAGCAGUGGGGAAUUUUGGACAAUGGGCGAAAGCCUGAUCCAGCAAUGCCGCGUGUGUGAAGAAGGCCUUCGGGUUGUAAAGCACUUUUGUCCGGAAAGAAAUCCUUUUCGAUAAUACCGGAAGGGGGUGACGGUACCGGAAGAAUAAGCACCGGCUAACUACGUGCCAGCAGCCGCGGUAAUACGUAGGGUGCGAGCGUUAAUCGGAAUUACUGGGCGUAAAGCGUGCGCAGGCGGUGAUGUAAGACCGAUGUGAAAUCCCCGGGCUUAACCUGGGAACUGCAUUGGUGACUGCAUCGCUGGAGUAUGGCAGAGGGGGGUAGAAUUCCACGUGUAGCAGUGAAAUGCGUAGAGAUGUGGAGGAAUACCGAUGGCGAAGGCAGCCCCCUGGGCCAAUACUGACGCUCAUGCACGAAAGCGUGGGGGGCAAACAGGAUUAGAUACCCUGGUAGUCCACGCCCUA